rnacentral:rRNA from 1 species
CAGCAGCCGCGGUAAUACAGAGGGUGCGAGCGUUAAUCGGAUUUACUGGGCGUAAAGCGUGCGUAGGCGGCUUCUUAAGUCGGAUGUGAAAUCCCUGAGCUUCACUUAGGAAUUGCAUUCGAUACUGGGAAGCUAGAGUAUGGGAGAGGAUGGUAGAAUUCCAGGUGUAGCGGUGAAAUGCGUAGAGAUCUGGAGGAAUACCGAUGGCGAAGGCAGCCAUCUGGCCUAAUACUGACGCUGAGGUACGAAAGCAUGGGGAGCAAACAGGAUUAGAUACCCGUGUAGUCCCUGUCUCUUAUAU